AUUGAACGCUGGCGGCAUGCCUUACACAUGCAAGUCGAACGGCAGCACGGGUGCUUGCACCUGGUGGCGAGUGGCGAACGGGUGAGUAAUACAUCGGAACAUGUCCUGUAGUGGGGGAUAGCCCGGCGAAAGCCGGAUUAAUACCGCAUACGAUCUACGGAUGAAAGCGGGGGACCUUCGGGCCUCGCGCUAUAGGGUUGGCCGAUAGCUGAUUAGCUAGUUGGUGGGGUAAAGGCCUACCAAGGCGACGAUCAGUAGCUGGUCUGAGAGGACGACCAGCCACACUGGGACUGAGACACGGCCCAGACUCCUACGGGAGGUAGCAGUGGGGAAUUUUGGACAAUGGGCGAAAGCCUGAUCCAGCAAUGCCGCGUGUGUGAAGAAGGCCUUCGGGUUGUAAAGCACUUUUGUCCGGAAAGAAAUCCUUGGCUCUAAUACAGUCGGGGGAUGACGGUACCGGAAGAAUAAGCACCGGCUAACUACGUG
rnacentral:rRNA from 1 species